UGGUUGAGGGAUUUUAAGGUCUCAUCAAUUUUAUUUAUUUACUCACAAUCAAAUAAAUAAUGUCCUAUUACAACUACUAGUCCAAAGUUAAUGAAAUUAGUAGCAUAUGAUAUCCCCACUAUUCGUUUUCAUAAAACAAAUCAAUAUCAAAACAUUUUUCAAAAUAUUGGAGAUAUAUAUAACUACUAAUUUUAUUCAUUAUAGUCUAGUAGCGUAUGAUACUCCUACUAUUUGUUUUGAAGAA
rnacentral:lncRNA from 1 species